UGGGGAAUUUUGGACAAUGGGCGAAAGCCUGAUCCAGCAAUGCCGCGUGUGUGAAGAAGGCCUUCGGGUUGUAAAGCACUUUUGUCCGGAAAGAAAUCCUUGGCUCUAAUACAGUCGGGGGAUGACGGUACCGGAAGAAUAAGCACCGGCUAACUACGUGCCAGCAGCCGCGGUAAUACGUAGGGUGCAAGCGUUAAUCGGAAUUACUGGGCGUAAAGCGUGCGCAGGCGGUUUGCUAAGACCGAUGUGAAAUCCCCGGGCUCAACCUGGGAACUGCAUUGGUGACUGGCAGGCUAGAGUAUGGCAGAGGGGGGUAGAAUUCCACGUGUAGCAGUGAAAUGCGUAGAGAUGUGGAGGAAUACCGAUGGCGAAGGCAGCCCCCUGGGCCAAGUACUGACGCUCAUGCACGAAAGGCGUGGGGAGCAAACNGGAUUAAUNCCCUGGUAGUCCACGCCCUAAANGAUGUCAACUAGUUGUUGGGGAUUCAUUUCCUUAGUAACGUAGCUAACGCGUG
rnacentral:rRNA from 1 species